rnacentral:rRNA from 1 species
GUAGGGGGCAAGCGUUGUCCGGAUUUACUGGGCGUAAAGCGCGUGUAGGCGGCCACGCAGGUCCGUUGUGAAAACUGGAGGCUUAACCUUCAGACGUCGACGGAAACCGUGUGGCUAGAGUCCGGAAGAGGAGAGUGGAAUUCCUGGUGUAGCGGUGAAAUGCGCAGAUAUCAGGAAGAACACCAAUGGCGAAGGCAGCUCUCUGGGACGGUACUGACGCUGAGACGCGAAAGCGUGGGGAGCGAACAGGAUUAGAUACCCUGGUAGUCCACGCCGUAAACGAUGGGUGCUAGGUGUGGGAGGUGUCGACUCCUUCCGUGCCGUAGCUAACGCAUUAAGCACCCCGCCUGGGGAGUACGGCCGCAAGGCUAAA